ACCCUCAUUAGUCACACAAUUUGGUUUUACCUUAACUUCCUUUUUAGAUGACCUAUUCUGAAGACAAGGAAGACCAUAAUGCCUACAGCAAUGGCAUUGAUCAUGAUAUCCCGAUGUAUUACUACCAACACCUCCAUGGGUUCUCAUAUUUUUCCAAGCUUCUGCUACUUGUUUCUUCACUGGUCCUGAGAUGCACUGCUGAGAGUUCCCAAUCUGAGUCAUUCCUUCCACUACUUGCUUUUGCAUGGCUAGAAGCUUCUCCUUAUCGAAUGCUUUUACGGGU
rnacentral:lncRNA from 1 species